rnacentral:rRNA from 1 species
AGAGUUUGAUCAUGGCUCAGGAUGAACGCUAGCGGCAGGCUUAAUACAUGCAAGUCGUGGGGCAGCACAGGUAGCAAUACUGGGUGGCGACCGGCAAACGGGUGCGGAACACGUACGCAACCUUCCUUUAAGCGGGGAAUAGCCCAGGGAAACUUGGAUUAAUACCCCAUAAGACAGUGGAGUGGCAUCACUCAGCUGUUAAAGCUCCGGCACUUAAAGAUGGGCGUGCGGCUGAUUAGGUAGUUGGCGGGGUAAUGGCCCACCAAGCCGACGAUCAGUAACUGGUGUGAGAGCACGACCAGUCACACGGGCACUGAGACACGGGCCCGACUCCUACGGGAGGCAGCAGUAAGGAAUAUUGGUCAAUGGACGCAAGUCUGAACCAGCCAUGCCGCGUGGAGGAUGAAGGCCCUCUGGGUUGUAAACUUCUUUUAUUGGGGAAGAAACCCAUCUUUUCUAAGGUGGUUGACGGUACCCAUUGAAUAAGCACCGGCUAACUCCGUGCCAGCAGCCGCGGUAAUACGGAGGGUGCAAGCGUUAUCCGGAUUCACUGGGUUUAAAGGGUGCGUAGGUGGGUAGGUAAGUCAGUGGUGAAAUCUCUAAGCUUAACUUAGAAACUGCCGUUGAUACUAUUUAUCUUGAAUAUAGUGGAGGUGAGCGGAAUAUGUCAUGUAGCGGUGAAAUGCUUAGAUAUGACAUAGAACAUCGAUUGCGAAGGCAGCUCGCUACACUAUUAUUGACACUGAGGCACGAAAGCGUGGGGAUCAAACAGGAUUAGAUACCCUAGUAGUCC